UACGGGGGGAGCAAGCGUUGUUCGGAUUUACUGGGCGUAAAGGGCGCGUAGGCGGCGCAACAAGUCACUUGUGAAAUCUCCGGGCUUAACCCGGAGCGGCCAAGUGAUACUGUCGUGCUAGAGUGCGGAAGGGGGCUACUGGAAUUCUCGGUGUAGCGGUGAAAUGCGUAGAUAUCGAGAGGAACACCUGCGGCGAAGGCGGGUAGCUGGGCCGACACUGACGCUGAGGCGCGAAAGCCAGGGGAGCGAACGGGG
rnacentral:rRNA from 1 species